rnacentral:rRNA from 1 species
AGCGUAGGCGGUUUUUUAAGUGGGGUGUGAAAUCCCUGGGCUUAACCCAGGAAUUGCAUUCCAUACUGGGAAACUAGAGUGCAGGAGAGGAAAGUGGAAUUCCAAGUGUAGCGGUGAAAUGCGUAGAGAUUUGGAGGAACACCAGUGGCGAAGGCGACUUUCUGGACUGUAACUGACGCUGAGGCUCGAGAGCGUGGGGAGCAAACAGGAUUAGAUACCCUGGUAGUCCACGCUGUAAACGAUGAAUACUAGGUGUUGGGGGCGAAGCCCUCAGUGCCGCAGUUAACGCAUUAAGUAUUCCGCCUGGGGAUACGAUCGCAAGAUUAAA